UUGUGUGUGCCUCUAAAGCCGCAAAUUGCACCCACAAUUGAGCUGUACAAAACGAAUCAGCGAACUUCUUGUUUAUUUGUUUGCACCGCCAUCAACGCCAAGAGAGUCUGUCUUCUGCAGUCGACUACUGUAACCUAAAUUGAACAUCACAUGUUGGCAGGUGCUUAGAAUGCUCCCCAGUUAAUUACUCGAAUGUUUCCGCACUGAAUACCGUGGAGCAGGGAGAACGUCACUUUCGAUCCUGGAUGGAAUGCCUGGUUACAAUGACAUUCGACUUGGACUAUCAGAUGUUUGAAAUCAGCCAAAAUGCCGAAGAGGAAAUUGAAAACCUAUAGGUUGCUGUGUUAAUUUACCACUAGCAAUACUCAAUUGUCUCAUAAAAGUCUCUCUCUUAAAGCCCCAUUGAAGUGAAUUUUAAUAAAGGAAAAGUAGACUUAAUGAA